UAGAACAUUGGCUUGCAGAUUGGCGCAUACGAGUAAAUAAAGAAAAGAGCAAACAGGUAAGAUUUACCCUAAACAAACAAAGCUGUCCGCCCUUGGUAAUGACCCACACGCGCAUCCCACAAGCCGAUAACGUAACAUACUUAGGUAUUCAUCUGGACAAGCGGCUCACUUGGCAGAAACACAUAGAGGCCAAGACGACGCACCUCAGUCUAAAAGCAAGCGAUCUACACUGGUUUAUAAACGUUUGCUCUCCACUAGGCUUGGAGUACAAAGUCCUCUUAUAUAACUCCGUUUUAAAACCCAUAUGGACCUAUGGCUCCGAGCUAUGGGGCAACGCAUCGAUAAGCAACAUAGACAUAAUACAGCGAGCACAGUCUAGGAUUCUGAGAAUCAUUGCUGGAGCUCCAUGGUAUCUUCGGAACGAGAAUAUACACAGAGACUUACAAAUAAAACUUGUCAUUGAGACAAUAGCAGAGAAGAAAGUAAAAUACAAUGAAUAACUAGCCUCACAUCCAAAUCCUCUUGCAGGAAAACUUAUUCGAGUAUGCAGCCAAAGCCGACUGCACCGGAACGACCAACCAGCCCAGCGUUAAAUUUGUUAGGCCACACAGCACGAAUCAUUUUAUAAAAUGAAACUGGAUACCAAUGUCAUGUAAGGGUCACUGUCUUUUGGAAAUAUUCUGACCGUUUCCCCUUGACUAGCUUGAUUAGCUUUAGUUUAGAAUAAGAUUUGAAAACUUAUUGUUAGUCUCUUAAGUAAAAGGGAAGAUUCAAUAAAUAAGCAAAACAUUGAAAAAAACAAGGUACGCGCCAGUUCGUAAACUAACUUUUCCCUAAAUACUCAUACCAAAAUCUGAAGACUAUCCCUACCGACCAUGAGGGUCUUCCGCAGCGCUUAACUACAGGGAAUAUUAGCCCUGAAGCACAAUGCGCCCACAGAUCCAAUUAACCAAUCACCAAAAGAGCACCCACGAGGAGGAGUCGAUCAUACAACUACACCCCCACAAACGUAUUUGAAGUUUAAGUACCAGAAGAACCGAUAUUAAAUUAAGCAGUUCAUCAUAAGAUUCUGUCUCUAGAACCUCAUCUUCAUAAUAUAGAAAAAGAGUCUCAGAUGUAGCGGUUUACACCUUAUCUAGUAGUUCUACGUCAAUUUCGAUUUGGAUCCUAAGGUCUGACUAUUAUGGUACGAGCCCCGUUACGGUACUGGUGCGAGCCCAUUUUUGCCGGCAGGGUUAACAGUUGUCCCCGCCUGUACGCCGAGACACCUUAUCGGCUACGUUCUUGUCUACAAAAUAAUAAAAGAUGGUGAUUAAGCCUUCCCUCAUAUUUUCGCCUUUGAACACCGUGAAUAUUGCACAGCUCUCUUCUUAGACGUUGGACAAGCAUUCGAUAGAGUAUGGCUGCAUGGACUUAUGUUUAAAAUAAUCAAACUGCUGCCUCAAAACAUACAUAAGCUUCUAAAGUCUUACCUAUAUAAAAGAGUGUUCGCGGUUAGAUGCAGUUCAAGCACUUCAAGCGAUUGUACUAUAGAAGCCGGAGUACUUCAAGGAAAUGUUCUGGGCCCAAUUCUAUACACACGGCGUACAUCCCAACAAACUACCAGAUAACGAUAUCCAAAUUCGCUGAAGACACUGCAAUACUAAGUCGAUCCAGAUGCCCAAUAAAACUACGAUGCAACUAGCACGCCAUCUAACUUGCGUAGAACAUUGGCUUGCAGAUUGGCGCAUACGAGUAAAUAAAGAAAAGAGCAAACAGCCGAUAACGUAACAUACUUAGGUAUUCAUCUGGACAAGCGGCUCACCUGGCAGAAACACAUAGAGGCCAAGACGACGCACCUCAGACUAUAAGCAAGCUUGGACUUGGCAGUCAAAUUAUUGAUAACUCAAUACAUACAUAUCAUCAAAUUCAACAAGCCGAAAGUUUUCCCGUUCCCGACAGUACAUAGAGAUCAUGUCAGGCUAUCACAGAUACGGAAAUAAAGUCGGCACUGGGUCACGAAUAAAUAGAUGAACUCAACAUUUUUUAAUAUUCAUGUUCAUGAUGUUGUGUUGUGUUGUGUUCUCGCAUCCGCCAGCAGCUGAAACCAAUAAAACAGUCGUUCGAAAUCACUUCA